UUCGUCUCUCUUCCUCCCUUCCAAAACCCAUUUCUAGGGUUCCAAAAAAAUCCACUCUAGUAGCAAAACCAAAGAAAUCCCCCAAAAUAAUCCAUCAAAGAUGCAAGUUAGUGGAGUUAGUUGAGUGGGUUAUGAUGAAAUCAACGAAUUAAAUCACUGAAAUCAACGAAUUCAAUCAUCGAAAUCGUGUAAGUCAGGUUCAGUUGUGAGCUGUGCACCUUGACACUUAUCAUCUUCCAAGCUUGCACAAUAUGAGUACCAAGCAGAAACAAUCCAAGAUUUCUUUUGGUGGUUCGAAGCAACCAGUUGAUCCAACUUGGGAACACUAUAAGGUAGUAAUCCCCGGUAAUAAUUUUUUUUUAACUUGCAAUUAUUGUGGUAACAAAUAUCAUGGAGGUAUUUAUAGAAUUAAACACCAUCUUGCACAAACUAGGAAUAAUGUGGCUAUUUGUAAGGAGGUUACUCCAGAAGUAAAACAGUUAUUUAUUGCCUAAAUUCAAAAGCUUGAGAAUGAUAAAGAGAAGUGUGAAGAAUCGGGUGAUCAGAAUGGCGACGAAGAUGAGUUAGGGACAAGAUAGAAGUUGAUGAGAGAUGCUCUAAAGGGAACUAAGACACCUAACACACUGAGUACCUACUUCAAGAAGCCUAAGAGGGAUGAUGCUUGUAAGGCUAUAUGUGAUGUUUUUUAUGCGAAUGCCGUGCAAUUUAAUGUAGUUAACAACAAGUAUUUCAAUAGAAUGUUAAAUGUGGUUGGAGAGUUUAGAAAAGGGUUGGAGCCCCCUUCCAUGCAUGAGGUUAGGGUCACAAAUUUGCAGAAGAAAUUGGAAUAUAUUCAAGGUACAUUGGAAUUAUUCAAGCAAGAGUGAAAAAAAACAGGUUUUGCUUUGAUUCCGAUGGAUGGACGGAUAAAAAAAAAGGUCUAUUACGAACUUCUUGGUGAAUAGUCCUAGUGGUACGUAUUUCCUGAAAUCAAUUGAUACAUCCGACAUACAACAUAAUGCGGAGAAUUUAUUUGCAUUGCUUGAUGGUCUUGUUGAGGAAAUCGGAGAAGAGAAUGUUCUGCAAGUCAUUACUGAUGGUGCACUGGCAUAUGUGAAAGCAGGUGAAUUGUUGAUGGCUAAGAGGAAGAACUUGUAUUGGUCUCCAUGUGAAGCACACUGCAUAAAUCUUAUGCUUGAAGAUAUUGGAAAUUUGCCCAUGCACCUUGAUACUGUUGAUAAGGCUAGAUUUGUGUCGGUCUAUAUUUAUAGGCGUUCUUGGGUCGUAAAUUUAAUGAGAACAUACUAAUGGCAGGGAUCUUACUAGGGAAGGGGAAACGCGAUUUGCUACGAACUACUUAAACUUGAAAAGAUUUCAUGUUUUUAAAACCGCACUUAGAAAAAUGUUUACUUCGGAUGCUUGGUCAAAAAGUAAGCAUGCAAAGGAACAAGAUGGGAUCAAGGUGCAGAGUAUCAUUUUGAGUGAUAAAUUUUUUUGGCCUUCGAUUAUUAGUUGCCUGAAAAGUGUUAUUCCGAUAGUUAAAAGUAUUGAGACUUGUGGAUGGAGAUGACAAACCGGCAAUGGGAUACAUUUAUAAGGCUAUUGACAAGGCAAAAGAACAAAUUCAGGCCAAUUUCAAGAACGUGAAACGCAGGUAUGAGGCUUACAUGAAAAUUAUUAAUUUGAGAUGGAACACACAACUCCAUGGACCUCUUCAUGCAGCUGGAUACUUUCUUAAUCCUCGAUACCAAUAUGCGAUAGACUUUGCUCCUAAUAUUGAUGUCAAACUUGGACUUUAUGAUGCCAUCAAAAGAAUGUGCCCAUCGGCAGCGGAAAGGCGAAUAAUUGACAAACAAAUAGAUUUAUUUACUAGUGCUGGGGGAUGUUUGGUCAUGAGAUGGCUAAGGAGACCAGAGAAAGAAAACAUCCAGCUUUAUGGUGAAAUUCAUAUGGAGAUCCUGCUCCCGAGCUCAAAAGAGUUGUUGUUCGCAUUCUAAGUGCCACAUGUAGUACUUCUGGAUGUGAAAGAAAUUGGAGCAUUUUCGAGCAGGUACAUACGAAGAGAAGGAACCGAUUGUCGCAACAACGACUGAAUGCACUUGUUUAUGUCAAGUACAAUCUCCAACUAGAUGAAAGGUUCUCAAAGAUUAAGGAACGAGGAGAUUCUUAUGAUCCGAUAUGCUCGUCAGACAUGGAAUCAGAUGAUGAGUGGAUCACUGAGAAAGAUAAUGCUUCUUUGCAAACAAAUCCUACAUGGAUGGAUAUGCAUGAUUGUUUUCAAAUCACCGAAGCUCAAGCAAAUAAAAAGAAACGGAAAAGAGGACCGAGAAACCUUAGUACCAUGAAGCUUGCACAAGGUAAAGGGAACAAUAAGGGAAAAGAAGCCAUACUUGUAGAGGAGAAUGAGAUAGAAGAAGUUGAAGAGGAUGAAAUAGAGGAAGAGGCUUAUGUGGAAGAAAUGAGUGAAGCUGAAAUAGAAGCAGAAAGUGACAAUGAAUGGUUUUCUGAUGAUGGUUAUGAUGUGGGAGAUCAAUAACUUUAUCAUGACAUGAGAACAUAUUUUAUAUUUUCUUGGGUACUUAUCUACAUAUAAGUAGAUAUACGCUUAUAGUUAUCGGCAUAUAUAUUUUGCGUAUAUUUUGGUUAAGGCUUCAUAUUUUGCAGAUAUUUUGGGUUAGUUCGGCACAUGAAGCAUACUUUUUGGGGAUAGUUGUACACUUAAUCAUAGAUUCUAUAUCACUUUUGAGUCUGUGACACUUAAACGUUUAUCAAUGAAGCGUAUAUAUAUGUAUGUUA